rnacentral:rRNA from 1 species
UGAGCCAAGUUUAGGGUUUUCUCAAAACCCAAGCAGUAUUGAACUGAAGAGUUUGAUCAUGGCUCAGAUUGAACGCUGGCGGCAGGCCUAACACAUGCAAGUCGAGCGGAUGAAGGGGGCUUGCUCCUGGAUUCAGCGGCGGACGGGUGAGUAAUGCCUAGGAAUCUGCCUGGUAGUGGGGG